UCUCGAUAACAAUUUCAACAAUAAUACUAAACAAAACUUAAAUGUGCAAGAAACUCUUCAGUGCUAUGGUUUUUGUAGGUGAUAGAUCUAGAGCAAAACUAGAGGGUCGAUUAAAAUAGUAGCUUUCACAACCACUUGCAACCAAAAGCAGCCGUCUCACAUCAACCUAGCUCGGCGUUGGAGGUCAAAAGCAAACGCACACCACCCUUAACAGCUGCUAAUAGAGGGUAGGGGGAGUAGAUUUCAUGGCCUCACAGUCUUUUACAGCCUUAGGGGGGCAGCCACCAACAGAGACAAGCUCAGCAACCUCCAGUUACCCACCACCAAAUAUGUGAAGACCCUCCAAGAAGGCGAAGGCUACUGACUUUCACGGUGGUGCUGUUCCAACCACCAUAACCACAACACUGAUAAAAAGAAGUUAUUUCUAUUGAAAUGCCUCAAUCUACUAAAUAUACAAAAACCCUAAAUACUUUCAAACCCAGCGAAACGGAGAGCAAAUCACCCACUUGGUUGAGACAAGACAGUUGCUUCCCUUGCCCUUAGGACAGGGCAGGGAAGAGUGACAAAAACCAGUUGAGAAACUCUGCUUGUUUGAGAGAAACAAGAAAAUGAG
rnacentral:misc_RNA from 1 species